CAGAAGGAACUGAUAAAUGCCGUUGCGGUUGCCAUGGGGACGGGAGGCUAUCAGAAUGGCCUUGUGAUCCGCAGCCUCCUCGCGGCGCGGCAGGCUCUCGCUCCGCGCUCCCGCCCCGCCUCCCGCGAGUCGCACCAGGAAUUCAUGGAGGACUUCAUGGAGGUCCUCACCCUGGAUACUGAGUUCUCAGAGCAUUUCCAUGGCGGUUAAUUUGUUGCUGUCUGCCUAGGCUACCAUGGGUGCUAGGGAAAAGGGACGGAAUCUCAAGAGCCAGGAAAUGAAGAGGCCAGGAUAAAACAGCGUGGAGCUUGGCAGCUGCUGCCGGCUGUUCUCAAACCACAUAGUGAGAUGGGCUAGCCUCUACCUGAGGGGCUGCGGUGCAGUUGUGGAAGACAAUAUGAUGGCAAAGAGACCCCAGUGAAGGCUGAGCACUCCCAGAAACCAGGACGGCUUGGUGGCAUUUGUCCUGACAGACAGCUGCUGAGAGCUUCAGCUGCCAGAAAAGCCAUUUGCUCAGGCUUGCCCUGUCUGGCCAGCUUCGAUGCACUUAAAAGGACCCUUGUUGGUCUCUGAGGUCCCCCUCUCUGCACCUGAAUCCUCCCAUCUUUGGAAGACAAGGGAAGUUCCUAGGAGACAUUCGCCCCACCGUCUGCCUCGAAGCUGCUGCUGUAACCUUCCCACAGUAGUCAACAUCAGCUGGCAAAUCCCUAAAUUAAGGUUCUGUUUACUCUGUUGUUCCAAAGGCUUGUUUUCAGCAAGAGGCUGUGCUUUAAUUAAAAAGAUGAGCGCUCA